UGGAGGGAAAGCAGAGAGUCCCCAGAAGCAGCGGAGGAGAAGCCUAGGCUGUGGAUGAGAGGAGAGGACUUGAGGUGGCGGCGCGUGGAAGGAAGGCGGAUGAGGGAUGCAGAAGAGCGGGAGGCGGAGGAAGAGGUGGUGGAGGCGGUGGUUUUGAGGAGGGAAAGAGUGGUGGAAGUGGUGGCAGAAGCCAUUUGGAGGCGAAGAGAGAAAGAGAGAGGAGAGGCUGAGUUGUAAGUUGUGAAGGCAAAGAGACAAGUAAACUGUGAGAGAGGGGGGGAAAAGGAGUUUAUGUAACGGUGGAUGGGAAUGGCGAA
rnacentral:lncRNA from 1 species